UUGACCUCAAAUCAGGUGGGACUACCCGCUGAACUUAAGCAUAUCAAUAAGCGGAGAAAAGAAACUAACAAGGAUUCCUUUAGUAACUGCGAGUGAAGUGGGAAGAGCUCAAAUUUGAAAUCUGGCAGUCUCUGGCUGUCCGAGUUGUAAUCUAGAGAAGUGUUGCCCGCGCUGGACCGUGUACA
rnacentral:rRNA from 1 species